CACCUUAACCUUACUCCAACAGGGGCAGUCAUAUAGCGACCGAUGUAAAGGGAAAGGAAAUCGGAGGAAAGGAGACAGAAGAUUAAUGGAAAUGGAGGGGGAAGAGAGAGAGAGGGACAGAAAGAGAGAGAGAGAGUGAAAGAAACACCAGAGGCUAGUGGGAGUCCUGAGUUUUCUCCCCAUGUGUCGAAUCUCAGGCAGAUUUGCAACGCAAGUCGCUAAGUAUCUUAACUGUUCAGAGCUAUGCGGCUUUAAGGUCUUGUGUGAAAUUAAAAGGGAAAACUUAACACGACCGGCCCCGGGGCCUUCAUCCUCUUCCCUCGUCAAGCAUUUCCGUCAACUCUCUUCAUGUUCCCAAGCCAGUUAUGGCGCUAAAAGACACAGGGUUAUUUCGCGCCCUCCACACUGGUGUGGCUUGAUAAUUCUCACAGUCAACACCCACCUUGCCCAAACUAUCUGGCUUCUUUCCCACAUAUUAUUAGCUAAAGAACUUAGCUGCCCCGAUCUUCUUACGGUAAAGAUCUUAGCCUUUUAGUCGCGAGGAUCGCCUUAACUUGCCACCCUAUAAAGUGCUUUAGUGGAAGACCCUUCCUCAGUCGCGCCAGGGAUCUCUGCUGCUAUCAGCCGCCCCCAUGGCCAAGCUUCUGGUGUAGAAAUAUUUUGCUGUGCUACAUACGCUGGUGUGGGUAGUCUUACCUUUCGACAGGAAACACAAGCCCAUCUGUUCGUAACCCUGUGCUUUAUUUCUCGCCCUCUGAAGUGUUCCAGUAUGAGGUCUCCAUCCCACCCCAACAACAGGAUGUUCGCUAAUGCUGACCACGUAACUUGCGGCUGAACUGGUCAACGAUCACAUCUGACCUCACUGGUGUCUGCUACACUCGACAAUUCCAGCCUCGUUCACGGAUUUUAUUGCUCAAGCUUCAGUGUAGGAUACGUGGCAGUGUGUGCACUUGAAUGAUGUGGUGAUUCGCUUCAUAGUUUGCCAAUAGUGCGUACGUGCUGGGGACACCUCAAAUGGCCGGUCUUUGCUGCCGACCGCGUCUGUGUACAUACAACAGGCACUGUGGACACGGACAGCGUGCGCCUGACUUUUCUUUAUAGUCAACCUGUGAAGUCGCCACUGCGGUAAACUUUAUUAUAUCGUAUAACUUGCACAGACCAAGACACUAGUGUUACACUAUUCUUUGCAACAUACUCUAUCGACCUAACAGUAGUGUUACAGUAGUUUUUUGUCUGACAACAUACCCCAAGUAGACCAAGAAAAUAGUAUUAUUACUAUUACUUUAUCUGACUACAUAUUCUACAGAAUGUCCGUGUUCCUUAAAUUUUAAUUGGGAAACAUCGCCGUUUAAUGUCAAACGCCAAAUCCUCUUAAAUACUGCAGGUUAGUAGGUAGGGGUUUUUUUUUUUUUUUUGUUUUUUUUUUUAGAAAUUCUGCUUCCAUGGUGAAACUGUAGCAAAUUACACUCGCAAGUAUUUAUGUGUUGAAAUGCUACAGGUAUAGUCAUACCUCCAUCUCUCUAUCUGAAACUCUUCCACCUUCCUCUCUCGAAACAGCUUCGUCUUUUUUUUUAAUCAACAAAACAUAAUUGGUAAGCAGAAAGACAUGGAUUUGAAUCUCUUGGAUUACUCCCCCUUUAACGCGUUGCCGGAGGUCAUGACCACACGUCCCAUCACAGACCUGCGCCAUGGUGUUCAUUUGUGUACCUCGCACCAUCAGCCGGGUCUUCAUCACCUUCUACCUCACUUCCCUCACACCCUCUCCCCACCCCAUCUCUCCCCUCUUUCCCCCCUAGCCUUCGCCGGCAGCGUGCGUUUGUCUUCAAGUCAAAAAACGACCACGUAACGAAGGCCAUUUUGGGCAAAAGCCGAGAUUAGGUUCCAGUGUCCCCCAUCCCCAGGCAAAGGAUCCUCAAACGCCCCAAGAGCGCCAUCCUGUCUCUUCCCCCCUCUAUCCCCCUCCCCCCAGCCCAUCUCGUGAUGCGAGUGUGCAUGAUGCUAGUGCUGCUGUUGCUGCUGCAGCAAGACCUCCACACCCUGAGCAAGAAGCGCCGGACGAAAAUCCACGACAAAGCAGGCCCCUGUGCUAAUUUCGCCGAGGUUAGGGCCUGUUCGUAAAGCACAUUAAUUCCGCCAGUGCCUGUUGUUGCCCAGGGGAUAAUGUUUGCAUGUGGCAAUUGGAGACGGGUCGGUGAGCAGACAUUCACAUGAACGUCAUAGACACGCGAACACGCAACGCUCGGAAAGCCUUCAAUAUGCCAUUCUCCUACCUGCCGGCUCAACCUGUAGAGGCACAGGUUGAGGGUCUGGCCACUAAUCUGUAAACCCAAAGAAGGCCUGCCCACUGACUCGCAGUGUCAAAGAGAACAGUGCCACCCGGCCCCAGUUUAUAAACCUGUAAUGUGAUUGGGGAGCCAGUCCACCCAUACGCAAAAUUAUGGGCGACCUGUCCACUAAUAUGCAAAUUCAAAGAAGGCAGAAAUAAAGAAAUUAACGUCACCAGUAUGGGAAAGAGGGAACGGAGCAGCCAAAGACAGGUAUGCGAGAAGGGUGGAACGUAAAGGCACAGCACUUCAGGGUAUCACCGAUACCUGCUAACCAGCUCAUCAAACAAGACAUUUUCCACAAAUCUGUCAAAAGAUUUGUCUGGUCUUCGUUCUCUAGAACCACACUUCAAGCGCAGGGAAGAAUAACAGCGCACCAAGGCGCACGCCACCAGACGUGUAACCAAACGCCAGGCGACAAUGCCAGGCCUCUUCGGAAGAAAAGGCAGAAACAAAAAGUCCGCCACCACGUUCGACAACUCCUGUGUGAGGUACAAAUUCUAGUUACAGCACUGGAAUUCUGGAUGUGUUGUAGGUGCCUUGACAAUUAUAGAUCAACAGAUUCUGUCACAAUGAGAGGAAGGCAUCUACUAAGCUUUGUAAUAAGGUUACCCUUCUAACUUUCUACAGACAAUGCAUGCCUUCCUCAUCAGAAUCAAAUGGAUUCAUUAACUGUUGGCGUGUCAUCAGCUUAGGCUUGUCCAUUUCUGCCUUGCUGGAUAUAAGGCCGGAGUCUGGAGGAAGAGGAGCC
rnacentral:lncRNA from 1 species